rnacentral:rRNA from 1 species
UACAGAGGGGGGCAAGCGUUAUUCGGAAUUAUUGGGCGUAAAGGGCGCGUAGGCGGCUUGGCAAGUGGAUGGUGAAAUCCCUCGGCUUAACCGAGGAACUGCCGUCCAAACUGCUUCGCUUGAGACCGGGAGAGGUGAGUGGAAUUCCCAGUGUAGCGGUGAAAUGCGUAGAUAUUGGGAGGAACACCAGUGGCGAAGGCGGCUCACUGGACCGGUACUGACGCUGAGGCGCGAAAGCGUGGGGAGCAAACAGG